rnacentral:rRNA from 1 species
UACGUAGGGGGCUAGCGUUGUCCGGAAUCAUUGGGCGUAAAGAGCGUGUAGGCGGCCCGGUAAGUCCGCUGUGAAAGUCGGGGGCUCAACCCUCGAAUGCCGGUGGAUACUGUCGGGCUAGAGUGCGGAAGAGGCGAGUGGAAUUCCUGGUGUAGCGGUGGAAUGCGCAGAUAUCAGGAGGAACACCAAUAGCGAAGGCAGCUCGCUGGGACGUUACUGACACUGAGGCGCGAAAGCGUGGGGAGCGAACAGG